rnacentral:rRNA from 1 species
GUAGGUGGCAAGCGUUGUCCGGAAUUAUUGGGCGUAAAGCGCGCGCAGGCGGUCCUUUAAGUCUGAUGUGAAAGCCCACGGGCUCAACCGUGGAGGGUCAUUGGAAACUGGGGGACUUGAGUACAGAAGAGGAAAGCGGAAUUCCAAGUGUAGCGGUGAGAUGCGUAGAGAUUUGGAGGAACACCAGUGGCGAAGGCGGCUUUCUGGUCUGUAACUGACGCUGAGGCGCGAAAGCGUGGGGAGCAAACAGGAAUAGAUACCCUGGUAGUCCACGCCGUAAACGAUGAGUGCUAAGUGUUAGGGGGUUUCCGCCCCUUAGUGCUGCAGCUAACGCAUUAAGCACUCCGCCUGGGGAGUACGGCCGCAAAGGCUG